GUCAGGAUAAAGCCGGUAUCGGCAACGGGGGGUUUGGGCCAUAUCUCUCCUGUAGGUGGAGUGGUAGAUUUACGCUUUAUAGAGAGUCGUGAGAAUGCCUUUUUCCUCCCACCCCCGCUUUUUGGGAGAGACGGCGUUUAGUUUGUCCCCCGGGUUGAGCUCACCCCGAUAAAACGCGGGCGAUCCCCAAGCGCCUCCUAGAACCAAAACUCCACCCCAGCCAACACACGCUCUGUUGUGAAAAAGAAACCGCCCCUCCCCAAAAAAGAGGGACCUUUUUUAAAAUUAUAUAUAUAUUCUUCCCCCCCCCCCCCCUCACGCCCGUCGCUACUACCGAUUGAAUGGCUCAGUGAGGCCUGGGAUUGGCUUAGGAGGGUUGGCAACGACCCCCCAGAGCCGAAAACUUGGUCAAACUCGGUCAUUUAGAGGAAGUAAAAGUCGUAACAAGGUUUCCGUAGGUGAACCUGCGGAAGGAUCAUUACCGAGUGAGGGCCCUUUGGGUCCAACCUCCCACCCGUGUUUAUUUUACCUUGUUGCUUCGGCGGGCCCGCCUUUACUGGCCGCCGGGGGGCUCACGCCCCCGGGCCCGCGCCCGCCGAAGACACCCCCGAACUCUGUCUGAAGAUUGAAGUCUGAGUGAAAAUAUAAAUUAUUUAAAACUUUCAACAACGGAUCUCUUGGUUCCGGCAUCGAUGAAGAACGCAGCGAAAUGCGAUACGUAAUGUGAAUUGCAAAUUCAGUGAAUCAUCGAGUCUUUGAACGCACAUUGCGCCCCCUGGUAUUCCGGGGGGCAUGCCUGUCCGAGCGUCAUUGCUGCCCUCAAGCCCGGCUUGUGUGUUGGGCCCCGUCCUCCGAUUCCGGGGGACGGGCCCGAAAGGCAGCGGCGGCACCGCGUCCGGUCCUCGAGCGUAUGGGGCUUUGUCACCCGCUCUGUAGGCCCGGCCGGCGCUUGCCGAUCAACCCAAAUUUAUCCAGGUGACCUCGGAUCAGGUAGGAACCUGCA
rnacentral:rRNA from 1 species